rnacentral:lncRNA from 1 species
UUUUUUUCAAAUUUUGAGCUUUAGUUUCAGAUUUUUGAACAUAGCGCCCUUCGAUACCUAGCGCAAAAGAAGCGCCUGUUUCUCCUCUACAAGACCUAUAUAGUCAUUCCCCGUGACACCCCCCAUUAUUUUUCUCUAGAAGCCCUGGAAUAGGCCAAACCCCUAAUUUUUUGACAUUUUUUUCAAAUUUUGAGCUCUAGUUUCAGAUUUUUGAACAUAGCGCCCUUCGAUGCCUAGCGCAAAAGAAGCGCCUGUUUCUCCUCUACAAGACCUAUAUAGUCAUUCCCCGUGAAACCCAUCAUUAUUUUUCUCUAGAAGCCCUGGAAUAGGCCGACCCCCUAAUUUUU